AACAGUGUACUGUAAAGAGACUGGAGGAUAUAUUUUUAAAGCAUUUCAGACUCCAAUGUUUUAUAAAAAAUCUCUGUAUUUUAUUGCAUUUUACUGAUUGUUUUGUUUAAGAUUUAAUUUUGUUGGUUUUAAGUUCAUAUAUUAACGUGUUCAAUACUAUUCUGUUAUACUGAAUCAUUUUAAUAUACUGGGUUUUAAAUACUGUUAUAUUCUGUUGCUUUUCCCCUAUAACUAUACUGAACAAAUAUUAUUGAGUAAGCUCAUAUACCAAAACAGCAUUUUUCUGUUUUGAAUUUGUAAAUUGUCACAAAGAGGAUAGAUGGACUUCAUCAGACCUGGUUACAAUUGUAUAACAACCUUUGGAAAAUUUAAUGAGCUAAAUAUCUCAAAUUGAUUCUAAGGGGUCUUUUAUACAUGAUUUUUCCCCCAAGAACUCUGGUCAUUUUGCCUGCCCCUAACAGAAGGUAAGGUCCAUUUUAGUAGUUGAAGUGAAAUACAAUUUUAAUCCCCACCUCACACAUUUAUAACAAUGUGAAAGGAUGGGACAUCACAGCCUCAUACCAAGGAGCUGGGAAGUUAAUCCCAGGGCAUAUAGUAGCCCUGGAGUACUCCCAAAAGAGGAGCAUCUCUCAUUUGUAACUCUUCAGCUCAAUUUACCCAAUAUCAACAGUACAGGCAUUUGGGUUUUUCCUAGACUCCGCUGCCAUAUUUUUGUAAUGAUAUCUAGAUUUCUUGAUGAUGUUCUAAACCCAAAAUAAGUUUUACUUUGUUUAAAAAUAUGUUUACCAAGGUUGAAAGAUUUGCUAUGUCUGUAAAAACUUUUGACAAGUAUCCAUUUUCUUUAAAUGUCAUAAAGCAGACUCAUGUUAAAAAUGAUAGUGUGUUUUUUUGCUUUUGUAAUUAACUGGGAUAUUGAAAAUUUGGGGGAUAUUGAUACCUACAUAUUUGUACUACUGUCCUUUAUAAAAAAAUACUGUUACCUUGUGAAAUUCAUUUGCUCAUACUCACAGUGGAUCAUGGCCAGAUAUGAAGAGGAAAUGGAUCUCAUUUUUGGACAAGAUAAUACAAAAAGAGGCAUUGUAUAGAGCCAAAGAAGCACAAAGCUAAACCUGAAUAGUGCCAAGAGAGCACACAUGUCAAAAAAAAAAGAAGAAACCAAUCCAGGAAGGACUGAUGAAAAUUCUAAGCCAAAACAAAGGACUUGAACCUAGUGUGAAGUCUCAAGUUUGCAACACUUAACAUACAUUAAGACGUAGGCCUUCCUUGUAUCCACACUCUGAAAAUACUUACAGACAAGUAUCUCAAACUUGGCUCCUAUGUGGCUCCUAUAAUCUAGUCCUUUUUCUGUCUUUUCUAGUGUGGCAACUUUCUGUAAUCCUGGCUACUGACUGGGUAAAUGCAUCAAUGCUUAAAUCAUUUUAAUUGGGCCCUGAUUCAAGAACCUCUUCCUUUACUUAGAAUUUUUACACAUAAGACUUUAAUAGUCUAUAUUUUCAUCCAGAAAUUUUCUUUUUUUAUUUGGAUCUUUCUGAUGUCUUUUUAAUUUCUCUUGCCAAUUGAUUCAUAUACCUCAUAACUCAGCCAUGCAUCCCUAAAUUAUCCCUGUGUUUUUCAAUCACCCUCUUCAAGGGGGGAAUGUAAAAAUAUUAUUAUUUUAAAUUGCAAAGUUUAAAUUAUUUUGGAGAAGAAUUUGUUAAGAAACAUGCUACCUCUCCAAAUCCAGAAACUGAAUUGUUUGGAGAAGAUUCCAUGAAGGUGCACCAGACCACAAGCUGCAUGAGAAAUCAAGAAUGAACUUUGGGUGUGGUUGAUUGAACAUUCAUUUGUUUGUAUACUUUCAUACCAAAGGGGACUGCCCUCUAAUUGGUUUUUUGUCAUGGUAUCUAGCAAUUAUUGGUUUUGUUCUUUUUUCCUCUUAUCGUCAAAUUAUUGCAAUCUUUAAUUUGAUCAUGUUUUCAUGAUCCUUUUGGGGAAACUGGUUUCCCAAUAAUGAUAAAAGGGGGGAGGGAAAUGUAAAAAAUGGAGAUUUGAACCCCAGACUUCAAUCCCCAGAAGUCCUUGGUUCUUCACAGAAUUCCCUAUAAUCUUACCCGAGUCUCCACCUGAAUGAGAUCACAAUUUAUUAUUUAAAGUGCUCUCUGCCUCUCAAGAGCUCUCUUCCUCAACUUGAAACAUUGCAACCUGUAGUGAUUAGGCUGUGAAUGGGCUAAAUCAGCCCUAGGAACGUGGCUUAUUAUUUUGUAUCCCUUAUUUCUAAUAAUCAUUAAUAAACCUCAUAAAAUAUAAUACUUUUACUAGAGA
rnacentral:lncRNA from 1 species